GAUGGGGAAUCCCCUUGGGAGCUCAAAGGCCAACAGAAUUUUAAGCAUUUGCAACUUAAAAAAGAAGAGGAAAACUCCGUUAACUCUGUCAACGAUGUCUACAGAAAUGGGAUAUGGUUAGAGGUCUCUUCAGAAAGAUCUGAAUUAACCCAGCUCAGGCCUGGACGGUAUGACCUGGAAAGGACAGUUGGUUUUAUUUUUUAAAGAAGGGCAGGUCCUGUUUUGUUUUGUUUUGUUUUGUUUUGUUUUCUGUUGAAGAGGGAGAUGUUGUCACUGCUAACAUCCAGGAAGGAGCAAAAUUUGGGAAAGAGGCCAGGGACCGGCCAACAAGUGUCCUCGGCUGGGGGCCGCCCCGCCUGUGGGCUCCUGACCACCCAGGCUCAGUCUCUCCCUGCUGGGGAACACGGCACAGCUGAAGGCCGCCUGCGGGCCCCGGGCAGCCUGGCCCAGCAUGCGGCUCGGAGACAGGCAGAGCCUGUCAAAUACAGCCCGUGGCCAGCGUGACGCGUGGAAGUGUCUUACGACGCAGGACUCAGUCUCAAGUCAAAAAUUGUGACCAUUGCACCAAGGCUGCCAAGAGGGGGACCAAUUAGUACAAAGUAAAUAUUUCUCAAGUGGGAAAGUGAAUGGAGGCCACCAGAGCCCCCCUCCGAAAGCAGAAAGCACAAGGUUUCAUGCACCCCCUGGGCCAGCCGCAACCAGAGAUGAAAGAGACAAGAGAGUGUUCCACAGCCUUCUGGGCAGGUGCCCACUCGGCAAUUAGACCUCAACAUUUAUUUAUGGAGCUAGCAUUGCACACAACGCUCCCAUUUCCGCCUGCAGAUAAAGAGCAGAGAUAAUGAGCUGAGCAUGGGCGUGGAAGCUUCAGGAACUCUGUGCAGGGACCGCCCCGCAGCAGCAGGCUUCCGGAGCACCUGGUUCUGAAUGAGGGUCAAAGAGUUCCGCUCAUCCCCCGACUCCCCUGACCCCCUUCUCACCACUGGCCCUUCCUCCCAUGCAUCUGCCCAGGGGAUAUUUAUAGGGUGUCCACCAUUUCUGGGAGGCAAUUUGAAAGGAAAAAUAAGGCAGAAGUGAUGCACUUUCCUACUCCGAGCUUGGGGAUGCUGUCGCUGGCCCUCACUGUCCCACGUCCUCUGCCCCCCAGCCGGACACAUUCUGUCACCAAAUACUUGCCUGGACUUGGCAGUCUUAGAGAUCAUUAAUAAUGAAGACCGAGAAGCCACCUCCCCAGCUGUGCUGGUGAUCUUUCCAGCAGAUCUGUGCUCCCACAGGAGUGUUCUUGGGCCUUCCGGGUAUAGACCUGCAUGGAACAGACAGGCUGCUGGCUCACGUCUGGGGACAACCGGGAGUCUGAAAAUUUAUAGCAGCUUGCUCUCACAAAAUUUCCUCACCUGUCUUUGGACCUGCUGUUAUUAGCAUUAGGGUAAAAAUAAUAAAAAAGAGCUCGUACCUUAGAAACCAGCGGGGUGGUAGCUGAUGAAACCCAUCACUGUAAACUUGGAGUAUUUUUGAGCUAACCGGAGAGAGAGAAUGGCCUCUUUCUCCCCCUCAGGUAGAAACGUGCUUCUUGAAACGUGAAAUUGAAAGACCAGAGAGAGAAAUAGAUUACCUAGUACGUUUUGAGAUGUAAAGUUAACUUGGCCAUUUUAAAGAAUUUAGAAGGAUGUUUUUCCUGUUCGAAUGACCAUAAGUCAGCUUCUUCUAGAAGUUUUUGGAAGUCCCCUUGUACCCAUCAUAUUGUCGUGUUCAAUUAAAACAUAUUCAGGGGAACAUGAAAUGAUUAGUUAAUGCAAACAUACUCUAUCAGUGCCUCCAUGAGGUCCUUUAAUGCUGAUGAACACAUGCCUCGUGGGACAGACUCAGUCCCUGCUGUGUCUCUGAGGACAUGGGAUCGGAUCCAAUGACUUGAGAAAAGAAAUACAGCGAUUUUCCUACAAACCCCGAGAGCUGGUUUGUGUUAGCUUUGUUGCAUUAAAAAAUAAAAUAAAAGGGGCUUCAAACAUA